UCCAAGUAGAGAAGUCUCUCUCACAGACUGAGCAGCAGAUCUGAACCCAUGGUUUAUUUCCAUCUAUGCUUUCCCCAAGGUUUAGCGAAAUUAUUUCUAUACUGUAAGUCCUCCCUUGCUGAAUAUUUGCUGAGUGAGUGAAAAAGGGGGUAAUGAGUCAAUAUAUACCUGUUGAUUGGUAAAGAAGUCAUUAGCUUUACUGAAAUUCACUUGAAUUCCAGGGCAACAGAAUCACUUUAUAAGCUAACUUGGAACCAGCCACAGAAGUCCAUGUGUUAAAAACAUGCAAUUGGAACACAGGACUAGAGCCCUUCUCCCUGUGACACAGAACACUUCAUGGAGACAAGAGCAGCCAUCCCAAGGCUUGGUUGGAAAUGCAAAUGGUGAAAUAAAUGUUCAGCUUGAUGGGCAGAGAGGAAAACAGCAUGAAAGUGAAAGAAGAAGUCUAUAAACAGGUCAGGCUACAUUCAGUGAAGACAGGGGAGGUGCCAUUAAGAAACUGGCCAGUGAAGAUUAUUCUGUCAUAGCCUUGGUUCCUGGCUCUCCAGAGAGCUGACACCCCUUCACUGGGAUGCAUGAGAAGAACAGACAGA